rnacentral:lncRNA from 1 species
GAUGGCAUAUCGCAAGAAGAGAGUUACAGCCAGCAACUUUGGUCUUGUGUUGGCGGCAGUGAAGAGGAACUCUUACCCUCCUUCAUUAUUCAAAACGCUGCUUGGUCAUUACAACUUCAAGCAAGGAGCUCAUGCUUGUGAUUGGGGAAUCGUUCAUGAGCCAAAGGCUAAAGAAGAGUACAUGAAGCGCACUGGUGUGACCAUCCAGGAGAGCGGAGUGUUUCUCUCUGACAGUGGCCUGCUUGGUGGCUCUCCAGAUGGGACAGUAUCUGCUGACUGCAUCAUUGAGGUGAAAUGUCCUUAUGCAGCCAGAAAGAAGACCAUAAUUCAGGCAGCAGAGGCAAAGGACUUUUAUCUCAAACUGGAUGAAGUUACUGGCCUACUGAAAAUGAAGCCGACUCACAACUACUGGCAUCAAAUUCAGGGCAACCUGUACCUGACAGGAGCUGGCACAUGUCACCUGGUGGUAUGGACUCCGCUGGAUGUUGUAAUUCUGUUCAUCCAUAAAGAUCCAGCUUGGGCAAACAACAUUAGUGUUUUAGAAAUAUUUUAUAAGGACAUUUCCUGCCCCAUAUUCUCUCAGAUAUUAAAUGAUUAACCCUGCAUUUGUUUACAUGUUCUAAAUAGGGAUGUCAGGAUUCAAAUUUUUGAGUCACGAAUAUUAUGAGGAAAAAUGUUGCGAUUUCUUUACAAUUAUUCAUGAAUAGCGAAAUUUAGAAGAAAGAAUUUCUCAACCUUUACAGUUCUGUGUAAAUGUUCACAAAAGAGGACAUUUUACGUAUAUAUUUAUUUAAGGGUUGUUUUAAUUGAUAGCCUAUUGAAGGUUCAGCCUUUAUUUUUUAUCUUCAUGCUUUUGUCAUUAUAUAAAAAAGUAAUAUAAUAAAAAGUAAACUUAUAAAUAGGCAGUAGAAUAUCAUUAUUAUUAUUAUUAUUAUUAGCAAUACCUAUACCUACCUAGCUAGCUAUAAGAAAGCAGAUUUAUGUGGAUGUUUUUGAAAGAUCUAUGUCUUUCCAUGUGCUUACACUGUUCAUGUCCAUUUUUACGUGACAAACGCGGCUGCACAUGAUCCUUUUUUUUUUUUAACUCUUCCUUUGGCAGCUAUGAAAAUAAGAUUUGCACAUUUGACUUAUGAACCUGCCGUUGACUUCAUGCGUUUGAGCGGAUUUAACGCUGAGACGAUUUACCUUGGGCCCUAAAACUAUUACGAUUAACCUACUGUGAGCUUUUAUAACCGCGGUUAUUGUAAAAUCAGUUAAUCUUGACAUUCCUAGUUCUAAAGCAGGAUAUUCAGUUUGAAUGUUGUAGCCUCUCCCAAUUUGUAUAUAUCAAUAUCUGUGCAUUUGUACCAGUUAAACUGAUGUUUGUGUGUUUUGUUGUUUUAUUUAUUCUAAAAAAGAA